rnacentral:rRNA from 1 species
GACGAACGCUGGCGGCGUGCCUAACACAUGCAAGUCGAACGGAAAGGCCCUGCUUUUGUGGGGUUCUCGAGUGGCGAACGGGUGAGUAACACGUGAGUAACCUGCCCUUGACUUUCGGAUAACUUCAGGUAGCUGGGGCUAAUCUCGUAUAGCAUCUCCUGCUGCAUGGUGGGCGUUGGAACUUUUAGGCUGUUGGGGAUGGACUCGCGGCUUACCAGCUUGUUAGUUGGGUAGUGGCUUACCAAGGCUUUGGCGGAUAGCCGGCAUGGGAGGGUGAACGGCGACCAUGGGCCUGCGAUACGGACCAGACGCCAACGGUAGGCAACAGUGGGAAAUCUUGCCCAGUGGGCCGGCGCCUGUUGCGGCGGCGCCGGGUGCGGAAAGACGGCCUUCGGGUUAUGAACCGCUUUCGCCUGUGACGAAGCGUGAGUGACGGUAAUGAGUAAAGAAGCACCGGCUAACUACGUG